CCCCUAUCUUCCCUUGUAGGCAUUUUUUUUCUUUUCUUAUGUCAUUCUUGUUGUGGAAUUAUAUAAUAUUACUAAUGUAAAAAAAAGGUAACAAGAGUGUUCAUAAAUGUUUUUAUUGUUCCGUUCCUACAUUUUGUAAAACUGGCCUUGGGUGGAUGCUUCAAGAUUUUAAGCUGAUGUAAAAGGCUUUUAAAGAUCAAGCAUAGCAUACCG